GCUAAGAUGACUUUGUACUUCACAAGUACCAAACACAAGCAUCAAUUCUACUUCCUCUCUUUUUCACUUUACUCUCUCAAAAUUUUGAUAGUAUUAUGCACAUUUGAUAAUUUUAGAUGGUUCUGUUGAAUAGGAUUUCUGAUGUUUUAGAAGUGAUUGAAUCCAAGAAAUGUGGCCUCAGAAAAGCAUUUUUAACAUUGUUGUUAGAAUGGGUACAUUUUGAACAAAACUUAGAUUUGAGCCCAACAUGUUUUCAAGAAUGCUUUUUCGAUCUCGAAUCCAGGGAGAAGCAUUUGUGUUCUAUUCAAAA
rnacentral:lncRNA from 1 species